GACGUAGGGCGCGAGCGUGUCCGGAUUUAUUGGGCGUAAAGAGCUCGUAGGCGGCUCGUUGCGUCAACCGUGAAAACCCGGGGCUUAACUUCGGCUGCGGUUGAUACGGGCGGGCUGGAGUUCGGUAGGGGAGACUGGAAUUCCUGGUGUAGCGGUGAAAUGCGCAGAUAUCAGGAGGAACACCGGUGGCGAAGGCGGGUCUCUGGGCCGAUACUGACACUGAGGAGCGAAAGCGUGGGGAGCGAACAGG
rnacentral:rRNA from 1 species